UGAAACUCAACUAGUUUCCUGCCAACCCUUCCUUGCUGCUCCCAGAAUACAUCCCUUGUUCCUCUCCGUUCAAAUGCCCGCGCGAGAUUGCUUUCCAGUCUUUGUAUAAAGUUGGAAAAGUGCCACAGUGGAGAUGUCCAAAUACGUUUCACCGUCAGAGAGAAGGAUCUAGAACACAAGGGGAAGUCUGACAGGGCAAUCAAAGCAGAAUAUUCUCCCCAGCUCUGCUUCUGACCAGAAUGAAUCAAAUACAAUACUCCUAAUUUUCAUGGCCAAGAGAAGAGACCAUCAGCAGUGAAGAGUUGAGCGCAAGGAGGCAGCUGAGCCGUGCUUCACAAUUCAUCACUCCCAUGGAGGAAACAGUGAACGGCAAGACAAGAAUGUUUGCUGACUGUGCAAAACCUUUUUAAGUUAGCAGGGGUGAGGGUCAUCUGUAAAGAAUUUUGGGUGAUUAGGCAAUAAAAAAGUAGAUUAAAUAGAGAGUAGAUAAAUGCAAGGUGAUGUUAUAACUAGUCAUAACUUUACAUAAAAUGUAGGAAUACCUGAAUCAGUUGAUGCCACUCAGUAGUGAGACUUAAGUGUGUAUGCCCUGCAUGAAUGCCAUCUUUAUGUUUGGAAAAGCAAGGCACAUUUCAAGGAAAGGGACAGAGAACAAAACCAGGAACACAUUUAUGGCAGUCCCGAAAUCUGUCGUGAAUUUGCUCAGUGAGUACUGUUCCCUGUUGCGUUUCGAAAAUGCUGGAACUAGAAAAGAAUAACAAGGAUGCUCAGCUGUCUGACUUUGUGUCCCUUGAAAGAGACAAUUGAGGUUUGGAGUUCUCACCAAAGAGUGAGGAUGCAUGAGGCCCGUCACGUCCUAUGUAAUGGGUGGAUGCCAGCUGACUUUCUGAGUACAAACCAUCAGAUUUGCCCAAGUCUAAAUAGGCAAGAGGAGAUGGUUCUUCAUUUGGUGCCUUUCUGAAUGGCAUGCUGAGUACAGGCUGUUUCUCUAGGGUGCAGGGAAGAUAGGCCAAGUAUUUGGAAGAGGACUGUGUUGAGAGUUAAUGAAUGAACACCCCCUCACGCUCAGGAAAUUCCCUGAGCUGAAAGCAGUUGGUAGCUGUGGGAGUGUUGCAGAGAAGAUAUCAUAUAUUUGCCUUGCUUUUCCUCUUCCUUUGACGUUUGCCUGUGGCCUGUGGUGGAAACAGGAUGUUGGACUGAAUGGGUUCUUCAUCCGAGGCAGUACACCUCUUCCUCUGUAUUCAUGAGGAUCACACUGAGCCACGUGAUAGCAAUAAGCCUGUGCAAUGGGGGUCUUUCCAACCAAAUUCACUGUUCAUCUACACCAGGAGUUACUUACGGAGCAGCUGCUGGGCAUGUAUUUCUAUUUUGCCUCAUGAUGAACUUCCUUCUCUCUGUCCUCAAAAAUCUUAGUAGCAAUAUGCAUACAGCUGCAUUGCAGUUGCAUACCUACAACCAAACCAUCCUUUUGUCCUUCCUCAGUAGAAAAUACACGUUCCAUGAGAAACAGACCUGUCUUACUUUUUGAUGAGUUUGUCUUUUGAAGGAGCAACUAUGGACAAAAAUCUCUUUACGCCUCUCCCCCCCCCUCCCACCUAUCCCUCAGCCUCUGUUUGGGGUUCAUGUGGUAGCAUCAAUUUUAGCCACAUUCAAAUUCAGUAGCCAGAAGCUGGCUGGCCAAUACACACAGGCUGUUGGGCUGCUGCCUCGGAGCAUGACUAAGGUAUUGGAUUUUGUCCAGUGAUUUCAAAUGCUUUUUGAAUGGGAGAGAACAGUUCACUUGCAUCCUUAGGAAUGUAGGGCAAAAAAUACCAUGCCAUUUGUGA